rnacentral:misc_RNA from 1 species
UACAGAGGGUGCGAGCGUUAAUCGGAUUUACUGGGCGUAAAGGGCGCGUAGGCGGUUAUAUGAGUGUGAUGUGAAAGCCCCGGGCUUAACCUGGGAAGUGCAUCGCAAACGAUAUAACUGGAGUACAUGAGAGGGUGGCGGAAUUUCCGGUGUAGCGGUGAAAUGCGUAGAGAUCGGAAGGAACGUCGAUGGCGAAGGCAGCCACCUGGCAUGAUACUGACGCUGAGGCGCGAAAGCGUGGGGAGCGAACAGG